CCUCUUUUGACUUGGGAAACCCUUAACUGAUGAAGUCUGGGGAUGAUGGGGGGUUCGUGGGGUCUGGAGCCAACAGCCAAGAAAGAAUUCUUGAAGAUGUCUUUGGUGCAAAAAUGGUGAUUUUAUUAAAGCAUGGGGACAGGACCUGUGGUCAGGAAGAGCUGCACUGGUGUCAUGACAGGUAACUCAUUAUACACCCUCAGUUUGGCAGGGGGUCAGGGAUCGAGUAAGUCUCUAAGGAAUUUUGGAAGCAAGGUUUCCAGGACCUUGAGGGGCGAGCUAUUGCUAAGGUAAACACCAUUUCUUACCAUUUG